rnacentral:piRNA from 1 species
GCAGAGCUGACUUGGUCCAGUUGUG